rnacentral:rRNA from 1 species
ACGAACGCUGGCGGCGUGCUUAACACAUGCAAGUCGAACGGAAAGGCCCUGCUUUUGUGGGGUGCUCGAGUGGCGAACGGGUGAGUAACACGUGAGUAACCUGCCCUUGACUUUGGGAUAACUUCAGGAAACUGGGGCUAAUACCGGAUAGGAGCUCCUGCUGCAUGGUGGGGGUUGGAAAGUUUCGGCGGCUGGGGAUGGACUCGCGGCUUAUCAGCUUGUUGGUGGGGUAGUGGCUUACCAAGGCUUUGACGGGUAGCCGGCCUGAGAGGGUGACCGGCCGCAUUGGGACUGAGAUACGGCCCAGACUCCUACGGGAGGCAGCAGUGGGGAAUAUUGCACAAUGGGCGGAAGCCUGAUGCAGCAACGCCGCGUGCGGGAUGACGGCCUUCGGGUUGUAAACCGCUUUCGCCUGCGACGAAGCGUGAGUGACGGUAAUGGGUAAAGAAGCACCGGCUAACUACGUG